UAUGACUUCACUAUGCCAUCAGGAUCUUUAUGUCUAUACUUUGGGCUAUGACAUCCAGUUUGAUAAUUCUCUUUGAAGCUUCAGUCAGAAGUUCUUAAAAACAUGGAGCAAGAUAGGACUCAAGAAAUAAUGAGAGCUGAAGACAAGUGCUGGUUCUUUCAGAACACUAUGAUUCACUUAGAAGACAAUCAUAAUCUCUGACUUCUUAAGGAUAUUCUAUGGUAUUACUGAUUGCUAAUUUCAGAGGUUUCUCAAAAGAAAACUCCAGGUCAUCAACUUAAGAAUUACAUAUAAUCUACAGUUUCUAUUUGGGGAUAUACCAUCAACUCCCUGAUCAUCCCACGAUAUAAAUGGGCAGGCAGAAGAUUUACUCCCUGUUCUGCACAGCAAUACCAUUGGAACUACUGAAGCUUUCUUGAGUGGUGUGAGGGCAACUUGUAACAAUGUAUUGACACAAACAGCGAAGUAUUUUUUAAGGAUCAUCUCCAUGACCAUAUAGAAUAUAAUUGAGUAUGUAAUUAGACUGAAAAAGGGACAGCAGUUAUCAUAAUUUCUGCAAUCAAGGCCCACUAUAUAUUUGAUGGUAGAAAGGAAUGAAGAGAGUUUAGAGAUGAAAAAUGACUGAAGAUGAGUGAAGAAUCAAGGAAAUAUAAAAUUAACCAAAUAGCAGGGUUAUUUUUCAAAUGAACAUGUCCUCUUAAAUAACAUUAAAAAAACAGAAGAUGAACAUGGCUUAAAGAUUUUAAAAAGGGAAUUUAGGAAUUUUGCAAGUUUUCAGAAAAGUAUUUGAUAUUCUUAUCCUUAUGUUUGAAACAGAUGAAAAGCUAAAAAAAUCCUUCAUCUUCAAAAUCACUGAUAAGUACUUUCAGUAUAUUUAAUGAUGCAAAUGUUCACUCUAUGACACUCUACUUAUCCUUGAAACCAAGGGAAUUUUAGUAAUUUAUACUACUUUUCUUUCCUCACACCCUCUUAACAGAGCCAUC